GAAAUGCGAUAAGUAAUGUGAAUUGCAGAAUUCAGUGAACCAUCGAAUCUUUGAACGCACAUUGCGCCCGCUAGCAUUCUGGCGGGCAUGCCUGUCCGAGCGUCAUUUCAACCAUCAAGCCCCCGGGCUUGCGUUGGGGCACCGCGGCCGCCGCGGUCCCUGAAAACCAGUGGCGGGCUCGCUGUCACUCCGGGCGCAGUACUAUAUCUCGCUCUGGUUGUGCGGCGGGUGCCGGCCGUUAAACACACCCCUUCAUACCAAGGUUGACCUCGGAUCAGGUAGGAAUACCCGCUGAACUUAA
rnacentral:misc_RNA from 1 species